GAGGGUAUAGCUCGGUGGUAGAGCAUGUGCUCAGCAUUCACAAGGUCCUGGGUUCAAUCCUCAGUACCUCCA
rnacentral:tRNA from 1 species